rnacentral:misc_RNA from 1 species
UUUUUUUUUUUUUUUUGCCAAAAGUAAGCGUGUGUGUGUGAUGUCAUUUUUUUUUACAAGCCAGUAUCAUGUGUUUUGCUCCAUUAACAAUUAACAUCCAAAUGCACUGACAUUGUUAAAAAUGCUAAUGUGGCAAGAGAAAAAAUUUAUUAAAAAAAUGUAUUUUAAAAUUUUCGUGACAAUUAAAUUAUUAAAUUUUAAAAUUAUAAACAAUCAAAUGUGAUUUUUAUAAAGAAUUUAAAAAAUAACUUUUUAUCUUUUCAUCUCCACCACAUCAAAAAUUUUAACAACAUUAAUAUAUUUAAUCACUAGUUGUUAACAAAGCAACAUAUAUGAUACUGAAUUGUCAAAAUACAAUCGCAUAGCCCUACUUGAAAAAGGGCUAAACCACAAGGGUAGUUUUGUACUUUACCCAAUUUCUUUUAAGAAAAAACACUUUCCUAUAAAAUAUUUUUUGGAAAAAAUCAAUUUUUCCUUAAAAAAUGGAAACGAUUUUCUUUGAAAAAUGUUUUUGUUAAAUAAUUCUUUCUUGGAAAAACAUAGAUUUUGGAAAACCCUUUUUUGCUAAUUGAAUGUAUGUUUAAAUUUCAAAUGUAUUUUAGACCUAAGACUUAACUAACGAAAAAAGUAUUGUUAGAAAUUUCAUAUGCAUUUUAGACCUUUGACUUAACCCACAUGACAUGGUAUUGUUUCUUUUUUAUUUUUUUAUUUCUAUCCAUCUGUGAAUUUUUAACAUGAAGCACAAACUGCAUUAAUGCUCUUUUUCUAAUUAUAAAAUGUUAUUAACUGAAAAAAAGUGGUGAAUGAUAUUUGUUAGGUUUGAUCCUAUUUUUAUUUCAAAAUUUAUAUAUUUAUUUUAGAACAAUAUAUAUACACACACACACGAGCACACACACACACACUAAUCUUUAUAGCACAUGCAUUGCAUGUACAAUUCUAUUAAAGAAAAUAUAAUACUUAAAUUCUAUUAUUAUAUUAAAAUUUCAUUAAAAAUAUAAUUAUUUUAAAUCAUAGAAUAAUUAUAUUAACAAUAACUAUUGUUUCCAUUGAUAUUUCAAUAACAAUUUCAUGAGGUAAACUACCAACUAUAGAAUGUUCUUGUGUUGUAUUUUAUACAAAAA